GAUGAACGCUGGCGGCGUGCCUAAUACAUGCAAGUCGAGCGAACAGACGAGGAGCUUGCUCCUCUGACGUUAGCGGCGGACGGGUGAGUAACACGUGGAUAACCUACCUAUAAGACUGGGAUAACUUCGGGAAACCGGAGCUAAUACCGGAUAAUAUAUUGAACCGCAUGGUUCAAUAGUGAAAGACGGUUUUGCUGUCACUUAUAGAUGGAUCCGCGCCGCAUUAGCUAGUUGGUAAGGUAACGGCUUACCAAGGCAACGAUGCGUAGCCGACCUGAGAGGGGGAUCGGCCACACGGGAACUGAAACACGGUCCAGACCCCUACGGGAGGCAGCGGUAGGGAAUCUUCCGCAAUGGGCGAAAGCCUGACGGAGCAACGCCGGGGGGGUGAUGAAGGUCUGCGGAUCGUAAAACUCUGUUAUUGGGGAAGAAAAAAGGUGUAAGUAACUAUGCACGUCUUGACGGUACCUAAGCAAAAAGCCACGGCUAACUACGG
rnacentral:rRNA from 1 species